rnacentral:rRNA from 2 species
CGCGUAGGUGGUUUGUUAAGUUGAAUGUGAAAGCCCCGGGCUCAACCUGGGAACUGCAUCCAAAACUGGCAAGCUAGAGUACGGUAGAGGGUGGUGGAAUUUCCUGUGUAGCGGUGAAAUGCGUAGAUAUAGGAAGGAACACCAGUGGCGAAGGCGACCACCUGGACUGAUACUGACACUGAGGUGCGAAAGCGUGGGGAGCAAACA